GUAACAAGGUUUCCGUAGGUGAACCUGCGGAAGGAUCAUUAUUGAAUAUUCUUGAUGGGUUGUAGCUGGCUCUCCGGGGCAUGUGCACACUUGUCUUGACUUAAUUCAUCCACCUGUGCACCUUUUGUAGUCUUGGGGGUUGAAAGCAGUCGACUAUCGGAUGGCUAUAAUAGCCUUUCCGGACGUGAGGAAUGCUGAGUGCGAAAGCAUACAGCUCUUCUCAAAUGACUACUCCUCUCCUUCAAGUACUAUGUAUUCAUAUACCACAUAGUAUGUCGUAGAAUGUGAUCAAUGGGAUAAUCAUAUACAACUUUCAGCAACGGAUCUCUUGGCUCUCGCAUCGAUGAAGAACGCAGCGAAAUGCGAUAAGUAAUGUGAAUUGCAGAAUUCAGUGAAUCAUCGAAUCUUUGAACGCACCUUGCGCUCCUUGGUAUUCCGAGGAGCAUGCCUGUUUGAGUGUCAUUAAAUUCUCAACCCCUCCGGCUUUUACGAGUUGUGAUGGGGCUUGGAUAUGGGAGUUUGCGGGUCUUUAUCAAUAAAGGUCAGCUCUCCUGAAAUACAUUAGCGGAACCGUUUGCAGUCCCGUCACUAGUGUGAUAAUUAUCUACACUGUGAUGAUUGCUCUCUGACUAGUUCAGCUGCUAAUCGUCCACUAUGGACAACACUUAAUGAACUUGUUGACCUCAAAUCAGGUAGGACUACCCGCUGAACUUAAGCAUAUCAUA
rnacentral:rRNA from 1 species